AUUGAUCUUACGGCUCCCGUUCCCCUCUUCUCUCACCUAGAAAGCCUUAUCUAUUUCUGACUCUGGUUACUCUUCUCUGGAUAAAACUUUUUCUUCUUUGGUAUUAUCUAGAUCCGUAAAUUUCUCAGAGAGAAAAAGAUUUGUGCUGAUAAUAGAAGGUGCUUUUUACACAGGGUUUCGUUUUCUACUUCAAUCAACUACUGGAUGAGUCAUCUUCAUCUAAAUUUACUUGUAUCAUAGACGGACAACCAAGCUGAUGGGGUUAAAUGAAUUGCUUCAGUGAAAAGGUUGAGUGCGCUGUUGCAAAAGAUGGGCCUGCCAGCUUGGUCCUAAGGCUGAGAGCAUUGUUCUGAGUAUCGUUUUCAUGCUUUCGAGUCCAAAUGAUGGAUCCCUGACAUAUAGUGUAGAUGUUGUGAUUUGUAGAAAGAAUUGAGAGACAACAAGGAUGAAUUUAAAAAGAAAGUGGACAGUCGUGUAGAAAUCCCAGGGUUUUUGUUAAUGGAAAGUCAAGAGUCUCAAAACUCAUACUCAAGGAAGCGAAAAUGCAAAAUCAGAUAGGAUCAAAUCAUUCCAUACUGAUAUUACAUCACUUAAGAAGGAAAUCCUUUUGUAGCAUACCUAUGAAUAUUAGAACUGUACGGGCACGAAGGCAAAUCUACAUCUUACAAUUCUUGACAUAAACUAAUGGCAAAACCGUCCACCUGAUAUUGAAGGCAUAGAAGGAGAAGUUCUUGGUAAAAUGUUACUGAAAUCGUUGUUGAAAGUUUUAGGACUUGUAUCACUUCUCUUUAAGAAACCUUAAUAAUUGGGAGUUGAAUCCGUUUUCUUUAAUGAUUUUGGAGUAAAUUUAUGAGUACAGUUCAAUGUAAUGCAUCUGUCAUUUGAUAUGGAAUUUGAAUUUUAGUAUUGUACUAUUAAUUUUCAUUUGAAUUUGAGAAUUUUAGUUAUUUCAUUUGAAUUUCAAUGUAAUUUGAGUUUCAUUUUAGUA